ACAAGCGGUGGAGCGAUGUGGUUUAAUUCGAAGCAACGCGAAGAACCUUUACCAGGUCUUGACAUCCGAUGCUAUUUCUAGAGAUAGAAAGUUACUUGGUACAUCGGUGACAGGUGGUGCAUGGUUGUCGUCAGCUCGUGUCGUGAGAUGUUGGGUUAAGUCCCGCAACGAGCGCAACCCCUAUUGUUAGUUGCCAUCAUUCAGUUGGGCACUCUAGCGAGACUGCCGGUAAUAAACCGGAGGAAGUGGGGAUGACGUCAAAUCAUCAUGCCCCUUAUGACCUGGGCUACACACGUGCUACAAUGGUUGGUACAACGAGUUGCGAGUCGGUGACGGCGAGCUAAUCUCUUAAAGCCAAUCUCAGUUCGGAUUGUAGGCUGCAACUCGCCUACAUGAAGUCGGAAUCGCUAGUAAUCGCGGAUCAGCACGCCGCGGUGAAUACGUUCCCGGGCCUU
rnacentral:rRNA from 1 species